GCAACAAUACACGAACAAUACAGAGAUAACCAUACCACAAACAUAGCUGAGAAAAAAUUGAGAUAUACACAGAGCUGGGCACAAUACAAAUUUAUCUGCAUAAUACACAGAGCAGAGAUACCCAUACAACAGGGCACUGAGUAAAAUACAGAACUGAGUAAAAUACAAAUAAAUAAAACCCAAAGCUGGGCACAAUAAGGAGAUACUAAUAACUAUCCCAC